CCUACGGGAGGCAGCAGUGGGGAAUAUUGGACAAUGGGGGGAACCCUGAUCCAGCGACGCCGCGUGAGUGAAGAAGUAUUUCGGUAUGUAAAGCUCUAUCAGCAGGGAAGAAAGAAAUAACGGUACAUGACUAAGAAGCCCCGGCGAAAUACGUGCCAGCAGCCGCGGUAAUACGGAGGGGGCAAUCGUUAUCCGGAUUUACUGGGUGUAAAGGGAGCGUAGACGGGGAUGCCAGUCUGAAGUGAAAGGCGGGGGCCCAACCCCCGGACGGCUUUGGAAACUGUAUGGCUGGAGUGCAGGAGAGGUAAGUGGAAUGCGUAGUGUAGCGGUGAAAUGCGGAGAUAUUAGGAGGAACACCAGUGGCGAAGGCGGCUUACUGGACUGUAACUGACGUUGAGGCUCGAAAGCGUGGGGAGCAAACAGGAUUAGAUACCCCAGUAGUC
rnacentral:rRNA from 1 species